CCGUGCUAGACGGGGAGCCAGCGGUGCCCUGUACCUGCAAUCCGCUUCAGCAGGGUCGAACUCCCCCCGGAGGCCGGAUGCCCGGGGUCCCUGUCGGGCGUGGCCGGCGUUGAUGGCCGGGUCCUGCGCGGCGGGGCCCCGUGAACCCCGUCAGGUCCGGAAGGAAGCAGCGGUAAGCGGGAUCCCCCGGGUGCCGCAGGGCGGCCUGGCCUGAGUCGGCCGACGCGCGCACACCUCGAACGGACGGUCGAAGCGGGGGUGCACGG
rnacentral:SRP_RNA from 1 species